AGAGGUGACGGCGGUGGUGGCACUGAUCUAACAGAGCUCGUGUGUCUCUCGUCUUUCAGAGUAACUCACUCAGUACGCGAAGAAACAGUCGUCUGUUCGGUUCCACUGUAAUCAUUGUUUCUCCUGUCUUGUUUAAAAUAUUAUUUCAAUUAUAUAUACACAUACAUACAUCAUCUAUCACCUAACAUUUCAUUAAUCAAUUGGGGUAAACGAAAAAAAAGCAAUGUCAUCAACGAAUAACAAGUGGACAAUGUUAAUAAGAUAAAACUUAAAAAAGGAAAUGAAAUAUCAUUACGAGUGACAUAAAUUUUGAAUGGCUUGCAAAAGGAAGCGUAAAAAGUUGAAGCAUCAUCCAGCAAAGUGUUAAAAAUACAUAAACCAACGAAUUAAUUAAUUAAUUGACGUAUCAAUUAUUCAAUAAUCAU